rnacentral:rRNA from 1 species
AAUCAACGCUGGCGGCGUGCCUAACACAUGCAAGUCGAACGCGAAAGUGGAGCAAUCCAUGAGUAGAGUGGCAAACGGGUGAGUAACACGUGGGUGACCUACCUUCGAGUGGGGGGUAACGUCCCGAAAGGGACGCUAAUACCGCAUGACAUGCUGUUUUUGAACAGAUGGACAUCAAAGCCGGGGAUCGCAAGACCUGGCGCUUGAAGAGGAGCCCGCGCCUGAUUAGCUAGUUGGUGGGGUAAUGGCUCACCAAGGCAACGAUCAGUAUCCGGCCUGGGAGGGCGGACGGACACACUGGGACUGAGACACGGCCCAGACUCCUACGGGAGGCAGCAGUGGGGAAUUGUUCGCAAUGGGCGCAAGCCUGACGACGCAACGCCGCGUGGAGGAUGAAGAUCUUCGGGUCGUAAAGCUCUGUCUUCAGGGACGAACGUGCAGAUUGUAAAUAAUGAUUUGUAAUGACGGUACCUGAGGAGGAAGCCACGGCUAACUACGUGCCAGCCGCCGCCGUAA